UUCCUAAUGUCUUAAUUCGGUCCUCAGUUAAACUGGCGGUGGGCGCUGCUUUUUUUCCAGGGAAGGAUUCUGGAAGACAUAGGAGGAGACGCCAGCAUUUCGCCCUCCAGCACCUCCUGCGGGCUGUGGUCCGCUUCCGGCCUCACUCGAGCAGACCCCGCCCUCCCAGAGGCCGUUUGUCCAAGUCACGUGAUCGUCGAAUCUGUUGACCUGGCGCCACCGGAAAAAGAAAUUCCCGGGCCCUGGCUUCUUGGCCUGAUGGUGAGGCACCAGAGGCACUGCUAGCCUUGAAGCCUCCAGCCUGCUGGAUGCCUCCAUCCCCGGCUAUGCUGUGGCUCUCCUCAUUCUAGGCCUCCUGCUCGUCACAUUCACCCUUGUCCUGGUGCUAAAGUGGAGGGCCUCCCAUGGGGUGUUCAGCCUGGGUGUGUAGAAGCACACAGUGUGGUACAGAGGACCCUCUCCAGACAGAAAUGAUGCUGGGAGCUGACAGAAACUGAACUUAGGAGCACAGGAGGCCAGGAGACCUGGGACAGAGAACAGGAGGUGACCCCUCAUGCUGCUGCUCCCUCUGCUGAAACCCAAACUGCAAACCUCUCCUCUCCCUGCCUUCACCUUGCCCCACGGCUUCCACAGACAGUGCCUCAACCCCGAGGAAUGAAUCCGAAGUUCCAACACCACUGACUUUCCCAGGAACUCAGAGCCAGAGAGGGCCAAGGACCAGCUCGAGGACACACAGCCAGGGCUUCUUCCCUCCGAAACCCCCAAGGACUGGACUUGCAGGGCUGGGACAGAGGUGGGGUGGGGGAAAGCAAUGCCUUGUCAACCCACGUGGGGAGCCCCACUCCCAUCCCCAAGGUGCAUAAAGUUGAGGAACACCCCUGCU
rnacentral:lncRNA from 1 species